rnacentral:rRNA from 1 species
GACGAACGCUGGAGGCGUGCUUAACACAUGCAAGUCGAACGAUGAAAUGGGGCUUGCUCCAUGGAUUAGUGGCGAACGGGUGAGUAACACGUGAAUAACCUGCCCUUAAUUUUGGAAUAACCCAGGGAAACCUGGGCUAAUACCGGAUAAGUAAACCUGUGGCAUCACAUGGUUUUGGAAAGUUUUUCGAUUAAGGAUGGAUUCGCGGCCUAUCAGCUUGUUGGUGAGGUAAUGGCUCACCAAGGCGACGACGGGUAGCCGGCCUGAGAGGGGGAAAGGACACACUGGGACUGAGACACGGCCCGGACUCCUACGGGAGGCAGGAUUGGGGAAGAUUGCGCAAUGGACGAAAGUCUGGCGCAGCGACGCCUCGUGGGGGACGAAGGUCUUCGGAUUGUAAACCUCUUUCAGCAGGGACGAAGCGAAAGUGACGGUACCUGCAGAAGAAGCACCGGCUAACUAUGUGCCAGCAGCCGCCGUAA